rnacentral:rRNA from 1 species
GACGAACGCUGGCGGCGCGCUUAACACAUGCAAGUCGAGCGAGAACCAUGGCUUCGGCCAUGGGGACAGCGGCGAACGGGUGAGUAACACGUGGGCAAUCUGCCCUCGGCACUGGGAUAGCCCGGGGAACCCGGAUUAAUACCGGAUAGCCUCUCGAGCUCACGGGCUCGUGAGAAAAGAUGGCUUCGGCUUUCGGCUGAGGAGGAGCCUGCGGCGGAUUAGUC